rnacentral:rRNA from 1 species
AUUGAACGCUGGCGGAAUGCUUUACACAUGCAAGUCGAACGGUAGAGGGGGCAACCCCUCGAGAGUGGCGAACGGGUGAGUAAUAUAUCGGAACGUGCCCAGUCGUGGGGGAUAACGUAGCGAAAGUUACGCUAAUACCGCAUACGACCUAAGGAUGAAAGCGGGGGAUCGCAAGACCUCGCGCGAUUGGAGCGGCCGAUAUCAGAUUGGGUAGUUGGUUGGGUAAAGGCUCACCAAGCCAACUAUCUGUAGCUGGUCUGAGAGGACGACCAGCCAGACUGGAACUGAGACACGGUCCAGACUCCUACGGGAGUCAGCAGGGGGGAAUUAUGGACAAUGGACGCAAGUCUGAUCCAGCCAUUCCGCGUGCAGGAUGAAGGCCCUCGGGUUGUAAACUGCUUUUGUACGGAACGAAAAGGUCUCUCUUAAUACGGGGGGCUCAUGACGGUACCGUAAGAAUAAGCACCGGCUAACUACGUGCCAGCCGCCGCGGUAA